rnacentral:rRNA from 1 species
ACUCCUACGGGAGGCAGCAGUAGGGGAAUCUUCCACAAUGGGCGCAAGCCUGAUGGAGCAACACCGCGUGAGUGAAGAAGGGUUUCGGCUCGUAAAGCUCUGUUGUUAAAGAAGAACACGUAUGAGAGUAACUGUUCAUACGUUGACGGUAUUUAACCAGAAAGUCACGGCUAACUACGUGCCAGCAGCCGCGGUAAUACGUAGGUGGCAAGCGUUAUCCGGAUUUAUUGGGCGUAAAGAGAGUGCAGGCGGUUUUCUAAGUCUGAUGUGAAAGCCUUCGGCUUAACCGGAGAAGUGCAUCGGAAACUGGAUAACUUGAGUGCAGAAGAGGGUAGUGGAAUUCCAUGUGUAGCGGUGGAAUGCGUAGAUAUAUGGAAGACACCAGUGGCGAAGGCGGCUACCUGGUCUGCAACUGACGCUGAGACUCGAAAGCAUGGGUAGCGAACAGGAUUAGAUACCCUGGUAGGAUAGCG